rnacentral:lncRNA from 1 species
UAUAAACGAUAAACGACACAAGCCUUGUAUCCAAAGCACCACAACAACUGUCGAAAAUAAUGACAAUCAUGUAGACAAUUAGACUGUUAGAAGGAGCCAGAGAGCAAAAACACAACUCAUUCCAAUUAACAUUUGCAGUAGUUAUGAAGGCUUUACCUCAUGCGUUUCAGCUCCACCGAAUUAUCUUUACCUCAAGCUCGCACAACAGUUGUGUUCUCAUGCUUUCUCAGACCAUUGAAAUCAGGAACACACUCUUUGGAUACCGGUUAGGGUUAGCAACCUUCAAAAACCAAAAAUGCGUUCUAACCUUCAACCAACACAAAACAAAAAAACAAAGAAAUCGAAGUGGAAUGAUCUUGAAACGUGAAUUUGUGCUGCGAACGGAGCUACCAAUGCCACAAAUGGGGGACCUAGGGUUCAGCUCGCACAAAACUAGCGUUCGGUUUUCACAAAUUGGAAAAAGGAGGGAAAGUGACUUUUAAC